CUUCAGCAUCACACUACACUGUGUCCAAAGACCGGCCGAGCAAAAUGAAACUACUAUUCCACCUUCUUCUCAUCGUGCUCAUCGUAGCAACAUGCUUCACAUGUGAGGCUGUAACUGCUCCCAGCCAAGUCGUAAAGCGUGAAGCAAUGCGCCAAUGUGUGAUGUGGGAGGGAAAGCUGAUGUGUCCAGGUGUCUGGAUUCCUGGAGGAUAAUUCCAUUGCUAUCUGCGAUAGCAACAAUCACAACAUGAUUUGAUAAAAAAAACAAUAAAAGUUUUAAUUAAUGCUGCAGUAAUGGGCCUCCUCUCA